rnacentral:rRNA from 1 species
GACGAACGCUGGCGGCGUGCUUAACACAUGCAAGUCGAGCGAUGAAGUUCCUUCGGGAAUGGAUUAGCGGCGGACGGGUGAGUAACACGUGGGUAACCUGCCUCAUAGAGGGGAAUAGCCUUUCGAAAGGAAGAUUAAUACCGCAUAAGAUUGUAGUUCCGCAUGGAAUAGCAAUUAAAGGAGUAAUCCGCUAUGAGAUGGACCCGCGUCGCAUUAGCUAGUUGGUGAGGUAACGGCUCACCAAGGCGACGAUGCGUAGCCGACCUGAGAGGGUGAUCGGCCACAUUGGGACUGAGACACGGCCCAGACUCCUACGGGAGGCAGCAGUGGGGAAUAUUGCACAAUGGGGGAAACCCUGAUGCAGCAACGCCGCGUGAGUGAUGACGGUCUUCGGAUUGUAAAACUCUGUCUUCAGGGACGAUAAUGACGGUACCUGAGGAGGAAGCCACGGCUAACUACGUGCCAGCAGCCGCGGUAA